UACGUAGGGGGCAAGCGUUGUUCGGAAUUACUGGGCGUAAAGGGCUCGUAGGUUGCCAACUAAGUCAGACGUGAAAUCCCUCAGCUUAACUGGGGAACUGCGUCUGAUACUGGAUGGCUAGAGUGUGGCAGAGGGGGGUGGAAUUCCACGUGUAGCAGUGAAAUGCGUAGAGAUGUGGAGGAACACCGAUGGCGAAGGCAGCCCCCUGGGUUAACACUGACGCUCAGGCACGAAAGCGUGGGGAGCAAACAGG
rnacentral:rRNA from 1 species